UUGUGUAGGUUAACUCACCAGCCUUUCUAAAAAGCUGAGACAUGGGGUUCCUGGGGUUUUCUGUGCAUUUUCUGAGCUAAACGUGUCUACUAAUGUAUUUCUGCUGGCUAGUAAAAUUUGAGUACUACAUCAUUUGAACAAAUAUUUUAAAAUCAGUUCUUUAACAUUCAACAACUACAACUAGCAUGAGGCCAUGACAGGAGGUAAGACGCUGUAGGCUACUUGGUUAAAAUGACAAGGUGUUCAUAUUUUAUGAUCCACUAUUGUAGCAAAUACCCAUUUAGCUGAGAACACGAACAAGAAAACCCAGUGACAUGUUUCAGCUUUUCAUAGUAGCUGCGGAUGAAUAAUAGAGUGAGUGGUGAAGAAAGUCGCAGCCGGCCAGAGAUACAGAUAUUUUUUCUCUCUUAAAUUGGAAUACCAAAACAGAGCAAAUUGUCGGGAAGUAAUGGCCUUAAAUACAGCAGGGCGUCAUAAAUACAAGUACUGUAAGUUAACUGAGGUAGUUGUUUGCUAACACGUUAAGUUAGCUAACAUUACAACAACUUGAUAGGCGGAGGCUUACUGUGAGUUUUUUUGUCCCAUAGUGCUGAAAAAUCAGUUAAUGCAGUUAUGUGUCAUAUUUGCUGGCAGACAAGUGACCAUACCUGUCACCACCACCACCAAUACCUGGGCAAACAGGGACAAUAUGUGGGUGUUUGAAUUAAUUUGAAUGGGACGCUCUUCAGGCUAUACCUACUUAGCUAGUGAUUAAGGGUGAUAUAUAUUAAAAAUCUGGCUUUGCUUGACUUUAUUAAUUGAAAACUCCUAGCAUACCUUUUCUGAAAUAAAAGAUAGUAAAAGAGCAAACUGUUUUGACACGCUGUCAGCUGAAAUGGAGACCACCACUGAACUCCAGUCCAGGUUUUCUAAGCAACACCUGCUAACCGAGAAAUUCAAUUAAGGACUCCUCUUCCCACUAGGAGCCGGUCUCCAGGGCAGAUCUUCCGGGCGACUCGCCCUGUAAGAAAUUAGAAAAUGCUACAAUAAAACCCGAAAAACUGAAAAAAUGUGGCAACUUUAAUAAUGAAAGCUCUCACGCUAUCCACCGUAAACACACACGUCCCUUUAGUUGGAAGUCACCGAAAGACAGCGAAGUACCACAGAUCAUUCAUGGAAAGCCAUCUUCUAUAUUAAAGAUGCCACUGCUAGUACAACACAAGCAACCAAAAGCUGAUGCCUGGUCGCCAGCCUGGGAACCACUUUUAAAAAAAUCAGAUGGCGGUAGAGUGAGCAUUGGCCAGAGGCGAUAACUCCUCAGCGGCUUCAGCUUCAGGACAGAUUGUUCAACAGGAAGUUCCAUCUGUUGGGCGAGCAGGCCUGUCUGUUCCGGAGCAUGGCAACGUGAUGGUCGCCAGGGGCGAUUGGAGACGCUACCGUCCCGGUGGCUUGUGGCUCGACCUCCACCUCCACCAUUGCCUUGUCUGUGAUCCCCGUGACACUCUCACACUUGCUUGACUGUUUUUACUUAUUUAUUCAUACAUCUGGGGAAAAUAGAAAAACACGUAUGCUUCAUUUGCAUUAAAUACAGAUAAUAUAGUUUAGUUUAUGAAGGAAGGAAUUUAGUGGUGUGAUGUUGUUUUUAACCUUAUACAGCAUUAUUGAUAGACUGCAGUUGAAAAGCAGUUUAUAAAGUUUGGGAUAGUGAAGCACAUAUACUUUGUGAACAAGUUUUAAUCUCUUAAGUGAUUGUAUGAAAUUAAAUACAAAUCACACUACUUUUCAUAUUUACAUUGUAUGUCCACUCUGUGUUGAAAACAUGCUUUAAUAGGUCAGAUUUGUUUGCUUAUUUUCUUGCAGUCAGGAGUAAAUGAUGCACCAAACAGAUGUAGCAUUUUCUCUCAACAAGGAAAUAUUUUAUUCAUGAUUUACAUGAAUGAUAAAUCUUCAGAAAGUCUUAGCGCUGAUGGGCAUACACAAUUUAACAUCUGUCUUCCUCAGAAUAAUUAAUCGCAUACCAGAACACUUGGGACUCAGUGUUGGAUUUUUCCUUUCACUUUACUUGAUCUAAUUACUUCUUUAAAAGCAAAGCAUUCUUUUAAGAAGACUGGAAUGAUAAACAUACCAGCUAUAUACUCCGCUAAAGAAAAAUCCAGGAAAGAUGCCGGAAAAUCGUGUUCUUGUAAAAACUGCUUUUUAGCCCUAUCACUGGGAAACCAUGCACACCCCACCAUACCUAAGACAGGGAAAUGUGGCCUUACAUUAUAAUUAUAAUUUGUAAUUCCCAAUUGAAUAUUUCCUUAAUAUCUCCCGAGUGAAUUGCUCUGGCCUUAUCACCACAGUGUGAAUGUACAGCACAAGGGCAUCUGUGUGCAUAUCAAUGAGAGAUCACCAGAUCAUUUUCAUUGACGACAGAGCCAUCAAAGGUCAUAGCCAUCCAAAUGACCUAACCUUGCAAUGUAACACCUGGGUGUAAAAGUGGACUCAUCCUAUCUACUGGGAUGGAUGUAAUGUACCUCUAAUGUAUAAAGUGCGGAAAUAAAAUAAGAGUUAUAGGUUGGUGGAGGAGGUUCAGUGUGGGCUAGAGAAUACUGUAACUGAAUAGGAUGAAAUAGCUGUGUUGGUAUCACCUGAGGUGACAGACUAUUGCCAAAGUGCUGUAUUUGU